rnacentral:lncRNA from 1 species
UUACAAAACAUUCGGGUCUUGGUAGAAGACUACAUAGUCAUAACAAAACAUUCGGGUCUUGGUAGAAGACUACAUAGUCAUAACAUAACAUUCGGGUCUUGGUAGAAGACUACCUAGUCAUAACAAAACAUUCGGGUCUUGGUAGAAGACUACAUCUCCAACUGAUAGAAAAUAAGGGAUUUUCUAGGGCUUUUCAUACUUACAUCAACAUUUUCAUUUAAAGGUUUACAUGGCCUUCAUAACAGAUUUUCUUAGGCAAGACAAUGACACUUAAUUACUUAUGAAUUCACCAGCUUUAAAGCUGAUACUCUCUUUCAAAAUAACUUGUAUUCUCAGGUCAACAGUAGAC